rnacentral:misc_RNA from 1 species
GGAAGGAUCAUUACAUUAUCGCAUAGAAUGGCGGCGUAGCUCUUAGAACCGCCCUCGUGCGGCUCGGGGUUGCGUGACUGCCGUGGGGCACGUCGCGGCUUCCUGUUUACCCAUAAAAGGAGAUGGUAUGGCAGCUUGCACCAACCGUCCGCAAGGUAAGACCAUAUCUCCUCAGGAAGUAAUCCCUCGAAUGGACUCACGCGGGGUCGUCUGAAUCCUUAACUUUACGAGAACUCCCCAUACUCCUUCGGUGGGGUCCCCCUGCCGAUGGUAACGUAAACACCUUUUUUGCAUCUAGUAUUACCUGUUCUGAUACAAACAAUCGUUACAACUUUCAACAAUGGAUCUCUUGGCUCUGGCAUCGAUGAAGAACGCAGCGAAAUGCGAUAAGUAGUGUGAAUUGCAGAAUUCAGUGAAUCAUCGAAUCUUUGAACGCACAUUGCGCCCCUCGGUAUUCCGUGGGGCAUGCCUGUUCGAGCGUCAUCUACACCCUCAAGCUCUGCUUGGUGUUGGGCGUCUGUCCCGCCUCCGCGCGUGGACUCGCCCCAAAUUCAUUGGCAGCGGUCUCUUGCCCCCUCUCGCGCAGCACAUUGCGCUUCUCGAGGGCGGCGGGCCGCGUCCACGAAGCAACAUUUACCGUCUUUGACCUCGGAUCAGGUAGGGAUACCCGCUGAACUUAAGCAUAUCAAUAAGCGGAGGAAAAGAAACCAACAGGGAUUGCCCUAGUAACGGCGAGUGAAGCGGCAACAGCUCAAAUUUGAAAUCUGGCCUCCUUUGGGGGUCCGAGUUGUAAUUUGCAGAGGGUGCUUUGGCAUUGGCGGCGGUCUAAGUUCCUUGGAACAGGACAUCGCAGAGGGUGAGAAUCCCGUACGUGGGCGCCUGCCUUUGCCGUGUAAAGCCCCUUCGACGAGUCGAGUUGUUUGGGAAUGCAGCUCUAAAUGGGAGGUAAAUUUCUUCUAAAGCUAAAUACCGGCCAGAGACCGAUAGCGCACAAGUAGAGUGAUCGAAAGAUGAAAAGUACUUUGGAAAGAGAGUCAAAUAGCACGUGAAAUUGUUGAAAGGGAAGCGCUUGCAGCCAGACUUGCCCGCAGUUGCUCACCCGGUCUUCUUUGACCGGGGCACUCUUCUGCGGGCAGGCCAGCAUCAGUUUGGGCGGUUGGAUAAAGGCCUCUGUCACGUAUCUUCCUUCGGGAUGACCUUAUAGGGGAGGCGCAAUGCAACCAGCCCGGACUGAGGUCCGCGCAUCUGCUAGGAUGCUGGCGUAAUGGCUGUAAGCGGCCCGUCUUGAAACACGGACCAAGGAGUCUAACAUCUAUGCGAGUGUUUGGGUGUCAAGCCCGGGCGCGCAAUGAAAGUGAACGGAGGCGGGAACCGCAAGGUGCACCGUCGACCGAUCCUGAAGUCUUCGGAUGGAUUUGAGUAAGAGCAUAGCUGUUGGGACCCGAAAGAUGGUGAACUAUGCUUGAAUAGGGUGAAGCCAGAGGAAACUCUGGUGGAGGCUCGCAGCGGUUCUGACGUGCAAAUCGAUCGUCAAAUUUGGGCAUAGGGGCGAAAGACUAAUCGAACCAUCUAGUAGCUGGUUCCUGC